GGGAAAGAGACUUUUCAGUUAAUCCACGUAGCUCAGGGGUUGCACUCGUUGAAGUGUAGAUUGAAGAUCCAAUUGGAGCCUCAGGUUCAGCAAAUCUCCUUAAAACAGUUCCUGUAAUUUUCAGAGACUCGAUAUAAGCUAUAUGAGUCACUGCUAGAUUACACCGUCCAUCAAGAGCUUGCCUUACAAACUUCUUCCGUUCACGACAAAGCUGCAAGGCUUUAUCUUCCUCUAGCUUAGAGUUUGACGCCCCCAUCAAAUCAUUCCAGGGUUGAAACUUGUUUCACUUACCACAAAAGUUACUUCAAGCCUGAAGAAGCAAACAAGUCAAAA
rnacentral:misc_RNA from 1 species